AAAACUUAACUUUGACCACUGAACCAUGAAAAUGAGGUCACGGUCACAUGACAUCUGCCCGCUAGACAUGUACACCUUACAAUCAUUCCAUACAACAAAUAUAGUAGACCUAUUGCAUAUAGUAUGAGAAAAACAGACCAAAACACAAAAAUUUAACUAUAACCACUGAACCAUGAAAAUGAGGUCAAGGUCAGAUGACACCUGCCACUUGGACAUGUACACCUUACAGUCCUUCCAUACACCGAAUAUUCUAGCCCUAUUGCUUAUAGUAUCUGAGAUAUGGACUUGACCACCAAAACUUAACCUUGUUCACUGAUCCAUGAAAUGAGGUCGAGGUCAAGUGAAAACUGUCUGACAGACAUGAGGACCUUGCAAGGUACGCACAUAUCAAAUAUAGUUAUCCUAUUACUUAUAAUAACAGAGAAUUAAACAUUACAAAAAAUUUG
rnacentral:lncRNA from 1 species